AAGCAUGGUGUCAAGUUGCAGAGAUUUUAACAGAUUAAGGUCAAGGUGUGACCAUAAACUGUGGUCUUGAUUUAAAGGAGGUGACAUGGUUAUGAUAAUUAUUACGCUCCUUUUCAAACCCAGCAGCAACAUUUUACUUCAAUAAUAUAUUCAGACAUAAAUAUUCAGUGCAGCCUAAACACAAUCUGUACAUAAAUAAUGUCAGUAUUCAUGAGUUAGGAGAUUAUUACUGUACAAACAUAGUCAAAACUGCAAAAUUCAGCAAAUGCAGCAGACUUGUCCAGACCCCAUGGAUCACACCGAUCACUGUCCCAACUCAACCUUCAGAGUGUCAGAAUCACACUGUAGUAGUGCAGCCCACAGAGCCGACAUAGUGGCAGAUGGUUACUGUCAUACUUGCUCUGAUGAGUGUUGUUCUGGUAUUUGGGGUCAAAGCAUUCUUAGGCCUUUGUAAGUUUUUUGCUGGUUGCAGUAACAAACACCCACAACGAUGAAGAAACUGACCUUCUGCAGCUUAACUGAUAGAUCCUGGAUACGCUGAGCUGAUGUCUCUUUUGGGAGGUUUCCAAACAACUGGAAAAAAAAUUAAAUAUGUCCCAGUUUCAGCUAUAGGGGUCCCUGGGAUCAAUUUACAUAGAACAGAAGCCCAACAUACAUUUAAGAACAUAACUGACAGUUUUCUUGGGUUUACUGAAUAAUAAAUGUUUGCAUAGUUAACUGUCACCCCUUCUCGAGUUUUGACCUUUGUUUAAAAAAAAAAGACUUCUUCGU